rnacentral:rRNA from 1 species
UGGGGAAUCUUGGACAAUGGGGGCAACCCUGAUCCAGCCAUGCCGCGUGAGUGAUGAAGGCCUUAGGGUCGUAAAGCUCUUUCGCCUGUGAAGAUAAUGACGGUAGCAGGUAAAGAAGUCCCGGCUAACUCCGUGCCAGCAGCCGCGGUAAUACGGAGGGGGACUAGCGUUGUUCGGAAUUACUGGGCGUAAAGAGUUCGUAGGCGGACUAGCAAGUUAGAGGUGAAAUCCCAGGGGCUCAACCUUGGAACUGCCUUUAAAAGCUGCUAGUCUAGAGACCGGAAGAGGUUAGGGGGAAUACCUAGUGUAGAGGUGAAAAUUCGUAGAUAUUAGGUGGAACACCAGUGGCGAAGGCGCCUAACUGGUCCGGUACUGACGCUGAGGAACGAAAGCGUGGGGAGCAAAC